GAUGAACGCUGGCGGCGUGCCUAACACAUGCAAGUCGAGCGAAAAGACGAUGAGCUUGCUCUCUUGCCGUUAGCGGCGGACGGGUGAGUAACAAGUGCAUCACCUACUUCUAUGUCUGGGAUAACUUCGGGAAACCGCUGACAAUACUGGCUAAUAUAUUGUACCGCAUGGUUCAAUAGUGAAUGACGGUUUUGCUGUCACUUUUAGACGGUUCCGCGCCGCAUUAGCUAGUUGGUAAGGUAACGGCUUACCAAGGCAACGAUGCGUAGCCGAUCUGAGAGGAUGAUCAGCCACACUGGAACUGAGACACGGUCCAGACUCCUACGGGAGGCAGCAGUAGGGAAUAUUCGGCAAUGGGCGAAAGCCUGACGCAGCAACGCCGCGUGAGUGAAGAAGGUCUUCGGGUCGUAAAGCUCUGUUAUUAGGGAAGAACAGAUGUAGAAGUAACUAUGCACGUCUUGACGGUACCUAAUCAAAAAGCCACGGCUAACUACGUG
rnacentral:rRNA from 1 species